UGAGCUUAACUUUGGAACUGCAUUUUUAACUACCGAGCUAGAGUGUGUCAGAGGGGAGGUGGAAUUCUGCGUGUAGCAGUGAAAUGCGUAGAUAUGCGGAGGAACACCGAUGGCGAAGUGCAGCCUCCUGGGAUAACACUGACGCUCAUGCACGAGCGUGGGAGCAAACAGGAUUAGAGACUUUCAGGUAGUCCACGCCCUAAACGAUGCCAACUAGCCGUUGGGGCCUUCGGGCCUUGGUAGCGCAGCGACGAAGUUGACCGCCUGGGGAGUACGGGUCGCAAGAUUAAAACUCAAAGGAAUUGACGGGGAUUCCGCACAAGCGGUGUGGAUGAUGUGGAUUAAUUCGAUGCAACGCGAAAAACCUACCUACCCUUGACAUGUCUGGAAUCCCGAAGAGAUUUGGGAGUGCCGCAAGAGCAACCGGAACAGGUGCUGCAUGGCUGUCGUCAGCUCGUGUCGUGAGAUGUUGGGUUAAGUCCUGCAACGAGCGCAACCCUUGUCAUUAGUUGCUACGAAAGGGCACUCUAAUGAGACUGCCGGUGACAAACCGGAGGAAGGUGGGGAUGACGUCAAGUCCUCAUGGCCCUUAUGGGUAGGGCCUUCACACGUCAUACAAUGGUCGGGACAGAGUGGUCGCCAACCCGCGAGGGGGAGCCAAUCCCAGAAACCCGAUCGUAGUCCGGAUCGCAGUCUGCAACUCGACCGCGUGAAGUCGGAAUCGCUAGUAAUCGCGGGAUCAGCAUGUCGCGGUGAAUACGUUCCCGGGUCUUGUACACACCGCCCGUCACACCAUGGGAGUGGGUUUUACCAGAAGUAGUUAGCCUAACCGUAAGGAGGGCGAUUACCACGGUAGGAUUCAUGACUGGGGUGGUCGUAACAAGGUAA
rnacentral:misc_RNA from 1 species